UUUCACCAACAAUGCAACUCACAUGAGAAGGCACUAUUUGCAUGUCAUGGCAGCAGACAGAGUGAAAAAGCCACUGUCAAACUUCACGUCCAACUGAUUUUGUAGAAAUGUGCUAGGCAUGAACCUCUACUGCACCCGGCCUACCAGCACUUCAGGGUUUUAAGGAAAGGAAAGAAUAUCAAAAUGGACAGAACUUGGGAGCAAGGUGUAGACAGGGGCCAGGAA
rnacentral:lncRNA from 1 species